ACGGGUGAGUAACGCGUAGACAACCUACCUCUCAGAUGGGGACAACAUCGCGAAAGCGGUGCUAAUACCGAAUGAUGUAACUUUUCUGCAUGGAAGAGUUACCAAAGGCGGCCUCUAUUUAUAAGCUGUCACUGAGAGAUGGGUUUGCGUCUGAUUAGCUAGUUGGCGGGGUAAUGGCCCACCAAGGCGACGAUCAGUAGCCGGUCUGAGAGGAUGAACGGCCACAUUGGGACUGAGACACGGCCCAAACUCCUACGGGAGGCAGCAGUGGGGAAUCUUCCGCAAUGGACGAAAGUCUGACGGAGCAACGCCGCGUGAGUGAAGAAGGUUUUCGGAUCGUAAAGCUCUGUUGUUUGAGACGAAUGUGUAUAUUAUUAAUACGGAUAUACAAUGACGGUAUUAAACGAGAAAGCCACGGCUAACUACGUGCCAGCAGCCGCGGUAAUACGUAGGUGGCAAGCGUUGUCCGGAAUUAUUGGGCGUAAAGGGAGCGCAGGUGGGAAAGUAAGUCGAUUUUAAAAGUGCGGGGCUCAACCCCGUGAGGGAAUCGAAACUGCUUUUCUUGAGUGCAGGAGAGGAAAGUGG
rnacentral:rRNA from 1 species